AGGUGAGUAACGCGUGGGAACCUGCCUCGUGGACGGGAAUCCUCCGGGAAAUGGAGCUAAGACCCGAUGAGCCCUGUGGGGGAAAGAUUUAUCGCCAUGAGAGUGGGCCCGCGUCCGAUUAGGUAGUUGGUGGGGUAACGGCCCACCAAGCCGUCGAUCGGUAGCUGGUCUGAGAGGAUGAUCAGCCACACUGGGACUGAGACACGGGCCAGAGGUCCUACGGGAGGCAGCAGUGGGGAAUAUUGGACAAUGGGCGCAAGCCUGAUCCAGCAAUGCCGCGUGAGUGAUGACGGCCUUCGGGUUGUACAGCUCUUUCGCCCACGACGAUGAUGACGGUAGUGGGGGAAGAAGCCCC
rnacentral:rRNA from 1 species